GAGAAUUUGGCAUUGGCUCUGGAAACUAUGUAAGUUUUAGCAUAUUUUUUUUUUAAACUUGGGAAAGAGCAACCACCUCAGAAAGUGUUACUUUAACAAAAAAAAAAAAAAUGCUAAAACUUACAUAGUUUCCAGAGCCAGUGCCAAAUUGCU